UUGCCUUUAUGGAACUCUAAAAAGACUGCUGGUUAUAAACCGGAGGAAGGUGGGGAUGACGUCAAGUCAGCAUGCCCCUUACACCCUGGGCUACACACGUGCUACAUUGGGCGAGACAAUGAGAYGCAAAUCUGCAAAGACUAGCUAAUCUAUAAACUCGUUCUAAGUUCGGAUUGCAGGCUGCAACUCGCCUACGUGAAG
rnacentral:rRNA from 1 species